ACUCAUUGACUCUACUCUUCCGCCAGUCAGUCACCACCAUUUCUUUCGAACGGAACGGUGCCUGCUUGGCUGCUUUGCUUGUCGUCCCUCCACUCUACUUAGCUCGUCGGCCGGCCACCUCUUCUCCACUGGAUCCGGUGCUCAACGACGGUUGCGUCGGUGCCCUCUACCCAGGCCGCUCCCAGGCAUGGUGCUUGGCGUUGGAGUGACUGACAUGGGAUCUUUCAGGUAGGCGCUGGAGGUACCGGCAUCUGUGUUGGGCAUAAUCAGCUUCUCCUGGUUUCCCUUGGGUGAGUACCAUGCUCUUGAGUCUUGUCACAGCGGCAUCCCUUUUGUUUUGCUCCUCUGGCAGUGGCAAUAGAAAUGUCAGUAUCAGUAGCAACAUGUCCUGAUGGUUUUCUGUUUCUGCAUCCAGCAAACUCAAAGGUCAACAGCACUGAGCUCGGCUCCAACAUUGGUGCACUCAAAAUGGAGUUGAUGUACGUGCAAGAUAUGCUCGACAACACGGAGGGGAGGGACAUCCACAGCCCUGCACUCAAAGAGCUUCUAGGGAUAUUUACGCCUCCACUACUCGCCCAUUUGGAGUUGCUGGAGUGUCUAGGGAUGCAUUGAAGAUCAAGACUCAUCAAGAACACAUCCAUGCCACCAAAAGUGCUUAAGUGAUCUAUCAAAGGCUUAGCACAAGCUUAGAAGAGUGAUUAGUGCUAGGAUAGGUUUAGAGAGGAGUGAGUGCAAGGUGUGACAACACUGUGAUCAGGUUCUAGAGUGAACCACCGCUGUACAAGAGGUGUGCCGGUACCUUGGAGCCUUGGUAGUUCGUAGGCAAGUCUUCAACCCUCCAGCUUGGUGUGGAGUAGUGUCGACGACCUUGUGUGAGGGACAUGAAGACCCCCUUUCCUUCAUGGAGAAGCUCCUUAAUGAAGACAGCAUCAAGGUGACCGAGUUACUUGGCGUGAGCAUUUGUGGCAAGUCAAGGAGCACCUUGGGAGAGACUUGGUGACCCGGAAGCAAUAUUCUUGUGUGAGUGCUUCAACAACGUGGACUAGUGAUGGCUUAGUGCCUACCGAUACCACGGGAUAA
rnacentral:lncRNA from 1 species